AAUAAGCGGAGGAAAAGAAACCAACCGGGAUUGCCUUAGUAACGGCGAGUGAAGCGGCAAAAGCUCAAAUUUGAAAUCUGGUACCUUCGGUGCCCGAGUUGUAAUUUGGAGAGGGCAACUUUGGGGCCGUUCCUUGUCUAUGUUCCUUGGAACAGGACGUCAUAGAGGGUGAGAAUCCCGUGUGGCGAGGAGUGCGGUUCUUUGUAAAGUGCCUUCGAAGAGUCGAGUUGUUUGGGAAUGCAGCUCUAAGUGGGUGGUAAAUUCCAUCUAAAGCUAAAUAUUGGCGAGAGACCGAUAGCGAACAAGUACAGUGAUGGAAAGAUGAAAAGAACUUUGAAAAGAGAGUGAAAAAGUACGUGAAAUUGUUGAAAGGGAAGGGCAUUUGAUCAGACAUGGUGUUUUGUGCCCUCUGCUCCUUGUGGGUAGGGGAAUCUCGCAUUUCACUGGGCCAGCAUCAGUUUUGGUGGCAGGAUAAAUCCAUAGGAAUGUAGCUUGCCUCGGUAAGUAUUAUAGCCUGUGGGAAUACUGCCAGCUGGGACUGAGGACUGCGACGUAAGUCAAGGAUGCUGGCAUAAUGGUUAUAUGCCGCCCGUC
rnacentral:rRNA from 1 species